GAUGAACGCUGGCGGCGUGCUUAACACAUGCAAGUCGAACGGGAAACCUUUUAUUGAAGCUUCGGCAGAUUUAGCUGGCUUCUAGUGGCGACCGGGUGAGUAACGCCUGGGUAACCUGAUCUAUACAGGGGGAUAACAACCAGAACUGGUUGCUAAUACCGCAUAAUCGCACAGGGCCGCAUGGUUCGGUGGGAAAAACUCCUGUGGUGUCGGAUGGACGCGCUUUGGAUUAGCCAGUUGGCAGGGUCACGGCCUGCCAAAGAGACGAUCCAGGGCUGGCCGGGGAGGGGGAACGACCACAAUGGGACUGAGACACAGCCCAGAAUGCUACGGGAGGGAGCGGAGGGGAAUAUUGCAGAAUGGGGGAAACCCUGAUGAAGCGACGCCGCGGGAAGGAAGAAGUAUCUCGGAAAGUAAAUUUCUAUCAGCAGGGAAGAUAGUGACGGUACCGGACUAAGAAGCCCCGGCUAACUACGUG
rnacentral:rRNA from 1 species